rnacentral:rRNA from 1 species
GACGAACGCUGGCGGCACGCUUAACACAUGCAAGUCGAACGAGAGAAGAGAAGCUUGCUUUUCUGAUCUAGUGGCGGACGGGUGAGUAACACGUGAGCAAUCUGCCUUUCAGAGGGGGAUACCGAUUGGAAACGAUCGUUAAUACCGCAUAACAUAAUUGAACCGCAUGAUUUGAUUAUCAAAGAUUUAUCGCUGAAAGAUGAGCUCGCGUCUGAUUAGCUAGUUGGUAAGGUAACGGCUUACCAAGGCGACGAUCAGUAGCCGGACUGAGAGGUUGAUCGGCCACAUUGGGACUGAGACACGGCCCAGACACCUACGGGAGGCAGCAGUGGGGAAUAUUGCACAAUGGAGGAAACUCUGAUGCAGCGAUGCCGCGUGAGGGAAGAAGGUUUUAGGAUUGUAAACCUCUGUCUUCAGGGACGAAAAAAGACGGUACCUGAGGAGGAAGCUCCGGCUAACUACGUG